CAGGUCUCUCGGGUCCCAUCUGCCUCAGGCAAAGACACACACACACCCCAGGAUUACCAUUACAAGAGCCCUGCUGGAUCAAGCCAACUAGCAAUCUGUUCUCCCAGGAGUCAACCAGAUGUCAAUGGGAAGCACCCAGGCAGAUCCUGAGCACCCUGCAGCCCCCCACCCACCGCUCAGAGCUUAGGGUGUUGGUGUCCUAGAGAGCAAAGCCAAACCCAGAUGGAGGACCUUCUUGCAUGACCAGACAGUCUGAGAUCCAUGUGUGAACCAAGAAGAUUUAACUGCAGCUGAUUUACCCUGUCCAGGAAAGAAAACAGUUUAUGGCUCAAGUGUUGAGCUCUUCAGCACAGAAGGCAUCCAUCAUAACACAGUUUGAACUAUGCUAUGCCAUGGUUCAAAGCAGCAAGGCACAACACAGACAAGUGCCAGUUGUCUCACUUUCCUGUCUCUGUCAUUGAGCCCUGCAAGUUGCCAAGUUUCUCUCUGUCCAGUCCAAGUGACUAGCACAUUGCACAAGCCGCAAGGAGCAGUUUAACUCAGACUCCAGUAAUGUCCAUGAAUUGCAGCCCUUGACUUCCAGAGAAAUGAAAGGUUGCCAUCACUCCAAUGGAGAAAAGUCAAGUUCUGCACUGUUAAGAUGAGGGCAUACCUUGCUCUCUACCCUGGCUGGCCUGGCAGGGAGAAGGCACCUUUACACAAUCCACCUCUAUAUGUUCCCAUCACCCACCAGAGAUCCUUGCAAGGUACAAGUCUGCCCUCCACAUAAAACCUGCCUUUCAGGAUGGUGUGCAUUUUGCAACUCUGAAAAAAACUGGACAUAUGAACUAAGUACAGAAAGUGUUAAAGGGUUGUGCAAUUCAUAGGGAAGGCAGGUACAUCAACAACUGGCAGAAUACACUGGUUUCAGUGUAUCUGAUGAAGUGUGCAUGCACACGAAAGCUCAUACCAAAAUAAAAACUUAGUUGGUCUUUAAGGUGCUACUGAAGGAAUUUUUUUAUUUUGUUUCGACUCACACCAAGACGGCUACCUACCUGUAACUAGAACUGGCAGAAUAGUUCUGUAAAAAACAAAAACCUGAUCCUCAAAAGGUUCUCAUUUAUAAUCGCCCAAGCCACCUUGGGAAGAAUAUACCUGGAAAGGCAGCCUAGAUAUUAAUAUAUAUAUAUAUUACAGCCCUUCUGUGUGCUUUACCUUGCAACAACCAGGCCGGGAAUAUAUGAUAUUGCAAUAGUUGCAAACUCCUUUUGGCCUUCUGGAAGCCUAACAGGCACA